GACGAAGGAUGCAAGCGUUAUCCGGAUUCAUUGGGUUUAAAGGGAGCGUAGGUGGCCUUAUAAGUCAGUGGUGAAAUCUCUGGGCUUAACCCAGAAAUUGCCAUUGAUACUGUAGGGCUUGAGUAUAGUUGCCGUUGGCGGAAUAUGACAUGUAGUGGUGAAAUACAUAGAGAUGUCAUAGAACACCGAUUGCGAAGGCAGCUGACGAAACUAUAACUGACACUGAGGCUCGAAGUGCGGGGAUCGAAACAGG
rnacentral:rRNA from 1 species